AACGAACGCUGGCGGCAUGCCUAACACAUGCAAGUCGAACGAAGGCUUCGGCCUUAGUGGCGCACGGGUGCGUAACGCGUGGGAAUCUGCCCUUUGGUUCGGAAUAACAGCUGGAAACGGCUGCUAAUACCGGAUGAUGACGAAAGCCCAAAGAUUUAUCGCCAGAGGAUGAGCCCGCGUUGGAUUAGGUAGUUGGUGGGGUAAAGGCCUACCAAGCCGACGAUCCAUAGCUGGUCUGAGAGGAUGAUCAGCCACACUGGGACUGAGACACGGCCCAGACUCCUACGGGAGGCAGCAGUGGGGAAUAUUGGACAAUGGGCGCAAGCCUGAUCCAGCAAUGCCGCGUGAGUGAUGAAGGCCCUAGGGUUGUAAAGCUCUUUUACCCGGGAAGAUAAUGACUGUGCCGGGAGAAUAAGCCCCGGCUAACUCCGUG
rnacentral:rRNA from 1 species